rnacentral:sRNA from 1 species
AUUUGACUGCAAAACAAUAACCAAGCUACUUCUUGCUUCUCAUAGCUUUGAUGGUGUAGCCAAAGUCCGUAUGAGUCUUUGGUUUUGUAUCUUCUAGCAUGGAAACA